AGAGUUUGAUCAUGGCUCAGGAUGAACGCUGGCGGCGUGCCUAAUACAUGCAAGUCGAACGAAAAGAGGAGCUUGCUUCUCUUUUAGUGGCGAACGGGUGAGUAAUACAUAAGCAACCUACCUAUUUGACCGGGAUAACAGUUGGAAACGACUGCUAAUACCGGAUAGGUGCGCGGGGGACAUCCCCUGCACAUUAAAGCUGGGACACAGCACGAAUGGAUGGGCUUAUGGCGCAUUAGUUAGUUGGCGGGGUAACGGCCCACCAAGACGAUGAUGCGUAGCCGACCUGAGAGGGUGACCGGCCACACUGGGACUGAGACACGGCCCAGACUCCUACGGGAGGCAGCAGUAGGGAAUUUUCGGCAAUGGGCGCAAGCCUGACCGAGCAACGCCGCGUGAGUGAAGAAGGCCUUCGGGUUGUAAAGCUCUGUUGUAAGGGAAGAAUGGCCAAGAGAGGGAAUGCUCUUGGAGUGACGGUACCUUACCAGAAAGCCACGGCUAACUACGUGCCAGCAGCCGCGGUAAUACGUAGGUGGCAAGCGUUAUCCGGAAUUAUUGGGCGUAAAGGGAGCAUAGGCGGUUUGAUAAGUCUGANGUGAAAGUUCGGGCUCAACUCCGAAUUGCUUAGAAACUGUCAGACUAGAGUGCAGGAGAGGGCAAUGGAAUUCCAUGUGUAGCGGUAAAAUGCGUAGAUAUAUGGAGGAACCCCAUUGGCGAAGGCGGUUGCCUGGCCUGUAACUGACGCUGAGGCUCGAAGCGUGGGGAGCAAUAGGAUAGAUACCUAGUAGUCCCCCUGUAAACGAUGAUUACUAAGUGUUGGAGCAAUUCAGUGCUGCAGUUAACGCAAUAAGUAAUCCGCCUGGGGAGUAUGCACGCAAGUGUGAAACUCAAAGGAAUUGACGGGGGCCCGCACAAGCGGUGGAGUAUGUGGUUUAAUUCGAAGCAACGCGAAGAACCUUACCAAGUCUUGACAUACCGUGCAAAACCCUGGAGACAGGGGAAUAGUUAUGGCGGAUACAGGUGGUGCAUGGUUGUCGUCAGCUCGUGUCGUGAGAUGUUGGGUUAAGUCCCGCAACGAGCGCAACCCUUGCCUUUAGUUACCAGCAUUCAGUUGGGGACUCUAGAGGGACUGCCGGUGACAAACCGGAGGAAGGUGGGGAUGACGUCAAAUCAUCAUGCCCCUUAUGACUUGGGCUACACACGUACUACAAUGGCGUAUACAGAGAGACGCGAAAUGGCGACAUGGAGCAAACCUCACAAAGUACGUCUCAGUUCAGAUUGAAGUCUGCAACUCGACUUCAUGAAGGCGGAAUCGCUAGUAAUCGCGGAUCAGCAUGCCGCGGUGAAUACGUUCUCGGGCCUUGUACACACCGCCCGU
rnacentral:rRNA from 1 species